ACAUGCUUGCAACAUAAUGUUAAUGCACCGGAUCCCAUUAAAACUCCAUAGUCAAGCACGCUCAGGCUAGAGUAGUACUGGGAUGGGUGACCGCGUGGAAAGUCCUAGUGUUUUACAUGCC
rnacentral:rRNA from 1 species